AAGCUAUAAUAAAAUAGCCACCAUUUAGGAAACUGCUGCUGUGAAUAAGCUGCUGUGCUCACAGAAAAAUACACUAUGAUAAUCUCAGUUGCAUCAAUAAAUAUUCUAUGUACCAGGCUCUAUUCUAGAUACUGAGGAUACAGCCCUGAAAAGACCAACAUGAUUUAAACCCACGUGGAGCUUCUUGGGACCUACAUUAACCACAUAGUGGGGCAGAAGAGACGCUGCACACGUCUAGAGCUUAUACCUUGAAAAACUUUGCAGCUUCCAUUUUCACUCUUUUGGAACUCUGCCCCAAGACCACCACACCAGAAGAAACUCUGAAAGAAAACCCACAGAAUGAGAGAGACUUAGCCACCUGGCUGUCCCGGCUGAGCCUUCAGCCACGUGCAGCUUCAUGAGCAAACCCAGGUGAGACCAACAGAAGGGCCAUGCAACCACCCAAAGACUCAUAAGAAAUAAUAGGCCAGGCCCAGCGGCUGACGCCAGGAAUCCCAGCACUUUUGGAGGCUGAGAUGGGCAGAUCCCUUGAGUCCAGGCCUGUAAUCCCAGCACUUUGGCAGGUCGAGGCAGGCAGAUCACUUGAGGUCAGGAGUUUAAGACCAGCCUGGCUAACAAGGUGAAAGCUCGUCUCUAAUAAAAAUACAAAAAUUAGCCAGGCAUGAUGCUGCAUGCCUGUUAUCUCGGCUCCUUGGGAGGCUGAGGCAGGAAAGUCACUUGAACCUGGGAGGCGGAGGUUGCAGGGAGCUGAGAUGGUGCCACUGCACUCCAGCCUGGGUGACAGAACAAGAUGCCAUCUCAGGGGUUGGGGGGAGAUCCCUUGAAUCCAGGAGUUGAAGACAGCCUGAGCAACAUGGUGAAACCCCGCCUCUACAAAAAAUUAGUCAGGCAUGGUGGUACAGGCCUGUAGCCCCAGCUACUCGGGAGGCUAAGGUGGGAGGAUCACUUGAGACUGGGAAGUGGAGGUUGCAGUGAGUUGAGAUCACACCACUGCCCUCCAGCCUGGGUGACAGACACCCCAUCUCAAAAAAUAAAUAAAUAAAUAGUGGACAUUUAUUGUAUCAAACAAAUUCCCAAUACAUCAUUCAGUGUCCAACUUGGGGUGGGGGUGUGUUUUUUUGGGGGGAACCUAAUUUAUCUCAGAUCAUAGAGAUUCAAACCAAGAUCAGAAGAGCUGGUGGUUGGUUGUUGUUUCUGAAAACUCAUAGCUAGACCCUCAAAAGUUAAUAAAUGCAACAGGAUUUAAAACUCAGCUUUGUUUGUCUUGGUGUGUUACGAAAGAACACAAGAAAAAAAUUGCAUUUCACCACUCCUGUGGCUUAAGAAGAAAGCGACCAAACAAGUCAAUUAACCUGUAAGUGAGGGCCCAGUCAUGUGGUGGAGAGACUCU
rnacentral:lncRNA from 1 species